UACAGAGGGUGCAAGCGUUAAUCGGAAUUACUGGGCGUAAAGGGCGCGUAGGUUGUUAUUUAAGUGAGAUGUGAAAUCCCCGGGCUUAACCUGGGAACUGCAUCUUAUACUGGGUAACUGGAGUGCAAUAGAGGGUAGUGGAAUUUCCGGUGUAGCGGUGAAAUGCGUAGAUAUCGGAAGGAACCCCAGUGGCGAAGGCGGCUACCUGGAUUGCCACUGACACUGAGGCGCGAGAGCGUGGGGAGCAAUCUGG
rnacentral:rRNA from 1 species